UUUCUUUUUUUUUUUUUCUUUUUUUUUUUGGUUUUCUGGCUACUUUCAAUUUCUGUUUUUUGGCUUUCUCGGGCUCUAUUUUGUCUUUAGUUUUUUUGAAGUAAAUACGUAAAAGUAAAUUAAACUGAGUUUUUAGCAUCUGGGUUCUUUUGUUACUAAUAGAGGGGUUUUGAGUAUUUGGGAUUCUGGGCGUGUGAAUUUGUGAAAGACUAUAGAUCUUUUUUUGGGAGGUUCGGUGGGUUUGGCCCUUUUGAGUAUUUUAAAUUUAGCCGACCCCAACAUUUUGCAAUUAAGAAUUCUUGUUAUUGUUGUUUGGGUAUGUUAAAAAUUGUUGAAAUUUUUGAGGGUAUCUUUAUUGUUAGAUCACUGGGUGCUUUGCCAUCUGGGUACAGGAGAUUUUUGCCUGGUGAAUUUUCCUGUGGGUAAUUUUUAUUUUAUUUAAGAAUUGCCUUAGAGUAAUUAAAGUCAGUUAAUUACCAGACAAAAUUGCCUUCAUGGCGAAUUUGCCUUAGGCUUAGGGUUAUCAAAGUUUUUAUAGAUGGCUUUAUUAUUAUUAUUAGUUUUUGUAAUGUUUUCAUUUGAAAAUGUUUGUGAAUAUCAUGUGAAAUGUUAUCCCAAGGGCUAUGCUCAUAGUGUACAAACCAAAGAUGGUCCAGUAUGCACUUUAGUGCUUGGUCUAUCCCACUAACAAUCGUUCUGUAUUGCAUACAAAACCCAGUGUUGGGUAACCCCUCUAGUCUAUAGAUCGGAUAUACAAUGCAGCCUCCUCUGGGCUGAAUCUUGCUGCUAGCAGUGACCAGAAACUCUUCCCUUGCUGUUAUGAGUAAUCUGCCCUCUCCUAUUAAUAUAUAUAUUUUAUUAUAGCUUGCUUCAUACAAAUUUUUUUUUUCAAUCCUCUAUGACUGAACUAUUGUUGUGCCGAAUGCCUCCUCACAAUUAUUUUCAUGGUGAAUAUUUUCUGAUGGAUUGAUGAAUAUCGAAACUUAGAUUCAUGAGAUGUGCCAUUUAUAGGUUGCUUUUGUUAAUACUUAAUAGACAUUGCUGUUUGAGUAUUAUUUUUGGUGGUUAUACUGUCAUUGGAUGCAAUUGAUUAGUGAUUGGGCUUGUCCCGUUGAUGUUAGUUUGAUUUUAAAUGUGAUAAUAGAACUCUAUUCUCUUUCCAGUCUCCAAUUUUUAGUUUUUUGGUAAAUACGGCUUGCAUAAAUAACUUAAGUUCUUAAAAACGACUUGACUGAGGCUCAAAGUUAUCAAACUCUGAUAAAAUAAAAUAAAAAGGUAGAUCAGAAGGGGAUCUUCAAAUAACAUGACAUCUGAAAAUAAGGAAAAGCCUCUCUUCGCUAAAGCAUUAGCACACUUGUUGGUUUCCUGAUACUCUGAUAGCUGUGCUUCACUUCACACCUAUGGAAAGCUUGGACUUAAUUCCUGCAGUCAUGUACAAUGCCACAGAUAAGAAUGUUAGUUCAAGAAACACUGUUUAAAGCUAAUACAAUUUCCAUAGCAUCAAAUUUCACAAUUAAAUAAUGGAUUCCUAACUCCCUAGCUAAAAUGAGACCAUAUCUAACUGCCCAAACUUCAGCCAACACACUCGAAGCUUGCUGAUGCAGGGCAUUUAAGUAGUUGUUUUACAUUUGUAGUUGAACAGAAAACCAGUAGCAAUAGUCGCUUGUGCCUAAACAGUGAGUUAGAGGUUGCUAUUGUAACAGCAAUCACUUAGAGCCAUUUGUACUUAGUUAGUUAGUAUGUUUGUUGGUUAGAUUGCCAAUUACCAAUUAGGUUAAGUCUUUAAUUGAGCCAAUCCAUUGGCUGCUAGUAUAGUGCAGCUUGUAUAAAUUGCAGAUUAGGCCCUCCGCUCUCAUUUGUAUGUGAAUGAAAUAAGCCUUUUAGAGCUUUUCUUGAACAUUGCAGAGGUGCCUAACCACCUAUCAAUUUGUUCUAAGUAACUCACAUUCCAUUUAGUUCUAAUUCAUAUCACAGCCCAUCACUUUCCCUGCAUCACUUGCCCAAUAGCUCUGUAGAAUCCAUUUGCCCAGUUACCCUCUGCAUUUUGAAUAAGUCCACCCUCACCAGCCUCGCCUGUGCUCCCCCGGGAGGAUGAUAGAGACAGCGACAAAUCCAACAACAUCGUUUCAGUAAAUCCAACUACAAUGAUGCCGUUUCAGUAAAAUUUAAUACAAACAGCCAAAGCCCCAAGUUGUGCUCUGUCUAAUUACCUCCCUCAGGUUUAACACAUGGUGCUUAGUGGAAACGUGUGUUUAAUUACUGAUCACAGGCUGUCAAUCUGUUAAUAGUUGUUAGAGUUCUGUUAGAGAAUUAGUUCUGGUUAACCACCUAAAUUGAUCUAAGCUUAAGCUUAUCUAAGUCCUAUAUAUAGGACUCUUGUAUUGCGUUACAGAGUGUGCUGUAUAAUAUCAGAUUCAGAUACUUUUCAAUCUCUCUCUAUCUCUGUUUUACUCUUUCGCACAUAAAAUCUCAAACUCUUUCAGAGGAAUCAUCGGUAUUGAGUUGAACCAGCCCACCGGAGGUGUUUCCCAUUUCAGAAAUAGUAGACCUGGCUGUAGAUGCAUGGUUUGAGGGUAAAUAGGCAAAAUUUCCAUUGCAUGACUUAAACUUAGAUACUUUAGUCUCGGGUUAAGGCAUUUAUUGCUGAAAAUUACUGUAUUUCUAUGCAGCCAAAGAUUCCAUUUGCCUAUCAAAAACAUGAUAGCCCAAUGGAUAGAAGAUUGAGCAUGAAUAAUAGAACAAUUGCCAUUCCUUUUGAACCAGGAACGAAGGGGGUUUCGCAAGAGAACCCCACUUCAUUCUUGUGGAAAAACUACAUGUGUUGAGCAUGGUUUGGGUUUUGUUAUUUGCACUUUAAUAUAUCUUGUGGAGAGGUUACAUAUGUUGCAAUGGCAACAGGCAAUUGAAACUUUUCUUGGUUUUGAAGCCAAACAUGCCAGAAUAUGUGUUAUAAAACAAAAAAAUAACUCUGAUGGAAUUCUAUGAUCUAUGCCACUCACAAUGGUUGUGUAUUGCAUACAGAAUUCAGUUUUGGGUAACCUAUAGAUCGGAGAUACAUUGCAGCCUCCUCUGGGCUGAAUCCUGCUGCUAGCGGUGACCAGAAACUCUUCCCUUACUGUAAUGAGUAAUCUGCCCUCACCUAUUAAUAUAUAUUUUAAUUAUAGCUUUGCUUCAUCCAAUUUUUUUUUUCAGUCCUACAGAUCUGAACUAUUGUUGUGCUGAAUGCCUCCCUAGUCCCUACAAUUAUUUUUAUGGUGAAUGAUGUCUGAUGGAUUGAUGAAUAUUGGACCUUAGAUUCAUGAGAUGUGCCAUUUAUAGGUUGCAUUUGUUAAUAGAAGUUGUUUGAGUAUUAUUUUUGGCGAUUAUACUGUCAUUAGAGUGCAUCUAAUUAGUGAUUUGGCUUGUCCCGUUGAUGUGAGUUUGAUUUGGAAUGUGAUAAUGGAACCAUUAUUUCUUCUGUCUCCAAUUUUUUGUUUGGCUUUUGUUAUUUGCACUUAUAUAUACCUUGUGGAGAAGUUACAUAUGUUGCAAUGGCCGAUUAAUCAAAUUUAUAAAGGGCCUAUUGAGAUCUUUGGGUGAGUCUAUUUUUAUCUUACUAUAUAUAAAAAGAGAGAGUUUUGCCUGUGUUUGUUGUGUAAUAAAACGGUAGAGAAGGGACAAAUGAUGGGUUGAAAUCAAUUGUGUUGGGCUGGAGAGAGAGUUUGGGCUUUUUUUUCUUUUUCAUUUUUUUUCCUAUUGUUAUCUAUUGCCAGAUUGUACUCCGGAUUUUUCUCCCAACCACUACUGACACUGAGUAGUGAGUACUGAUAGAGAAACACAUAUAGAAGGAGGUGGUAUUGCAUGUUUCCACAUUGUGUAGAAGAGAGGAAAAGAAGAAAAUGAUUCCGCUACAUAUUUCCACUACAAAUUAGGACUUCAGGAUUUUGGGUUGAAAAUGGGGGAAAGAGGAGAGGGAGAAAGGGAAAGGAAGGUUGCAAGUGAUUAUGAAUUGAAUUUUAGGUACUUUAAUGCGGAUGCAUUUGAAGUGUUUGUGAAAAUGUACGAAUUGGCUUUUGGGUAAGUUUCUGUUAUUUGUUUGUUAGCUUAAAUGAUGAUAUAAGCUUGAUGAAACAUGUGGCAAUAAAACAAGAUGUCAGUUAUCAUGUGAAGUGUUUGUCUUAAGGGUUAGAACCUUAAGGAACUCAACCUGAGUGUAUAAAGAUGGAUGGCCACAUAUUAUUAGUGUAUAAGGAAGUCAACCUGAGUGCAUAUGUACAGCUAUCUUUUAGAUUGCUUUUGUUUCUUUUUCUGAUUUUGUAUCAUGUAUAAUGAUGCUGUUAAUGUUUUCUCCAUAUCUUUAUUUUGUUAGACAGGAAGCAGAAGGACUUCUACAGUUAUACCGAGGGUCCAGCCAAUGCCUUUGUAGUUGUUGUAGAAAAAACUUAUCCAAUGGUCAAGAAGGCUUAACCCCGUGUUUUUGAGAGAUUCUUUGCCCACAUAAAAAAAUUAUCCAAUUAUCAAGCUGAUUCUCUUACUUUUAGCUCAUUGAAGCUUAUAUCAUAUUAUUGUACUAUAGUCCUAAUUUGUGCUUUUGUACUUAAUAGGAGCAAAUCCAGCAUGCUGAGGAACAAUUUAACUCUGUGUCACUGUUAUUUUCUCAAGGUUUAGUGAUUAUAAACUAUUUCAUUUGGUAGACUUGACCUACUUAUUCUAGUAAGGAUAUGCCACUUGAUUUUUCUGUUUA